GGGAAUGUGGCUUAGUGGUAGAGUGCUUGCCUAGAAUGCAUGAAGGCCUAUGUUCAAUUCCUCAGUACCA
rnacentral:tRNA from 1 species